GACGUAGGGGGCGAGCGUUGUCCGGAGUUACUGGGCGUAAAGGGCGCGUAGGCGGUUUAGCAAGUCAGGUGUAAAAGGCCACGGCUCAACCGUGGGGGUGCACCUGAAACUGCUGAGCUAGAGGACAGGAGAGGGGAGUGGAAUUCCCGGUGUAGCGGUGAAAUGCGUAGAUAUCGGGAGGAAUACCAGUGGCGAAGGCGACUCCCUGGACUGGUCCUGACGCUGAGGCGCGAGAGCGUGGGGAGCGAACAGG
rnacentral:rRNA from 1 species